GAGCACGUAGGUGGGUUUGUAAGUCAGAUGUGAAAGCCUUCUGUUCAACGGAAGAAUCGCAUCUGAAACUGCGAGUCUUGAGUGUAGGAGGGGAGAAUGGAGCUUCUGGUGGAGCGGUGAAAUGCGUAGAUAUCAGAAGGAACUCCGGCGGCGAAAGCGAUUCUCUGGCCUAUUACUGACACUCAGUGUGCGAAAGCUAGGGGAGCAAACGGGAUUAGAUACCCCGGUAGUCCUAGCCGUAAACGAUGGGCACUAAGUAGAGGGGUUUU
rnacentral:rRNA from 1 species